UACGUAGGGGGCAAGCGUUGUCCGGAUUUCUUGGGCGUAAAGAGCGUGUAGGCGGCCAGGUAGGUCCGUUGUGAAAACUGGAGGCUUAACCUCCAGCUGUCGAUGGAAACCAUCUGGCUAGAGUCCGGAAGAGGAGAGUGGAAUUCCUGGUGUAGCGGUGAAAUGCGCAGAUAUCGUGAGGAACACCAGAGGCGAAGGCGGCUACCUAGACAAUUGCUGACGCUCAGGCACGAAAGCGUGGGGAGCAAAAGGG
rnacentral:rRNA from 1 species